rnacentral:piRNA from 1 species
UGAGGUGGCCAUGGUGGAAGGUG